rnacentral:rRNA from 1 species
GAUGAACGCUGGCGGCGUGCCUAAUACAUGCAAGUCGAGCGAACAGACGAGGAGCUUGCUCCUUCGACGUUAGCGGCGGACGGGUGAGUAACACGUAGGUAACCUACCUAUAAGACUGGGAUAACUUCGGGAAACCGGAGCUAAUACCGGAUAAUAUUUCGAACCGCAUGGUUCAAUAGUGAAAGAUGGCUUUGCUAUCACUUAUAGAUGGACCUGCGCCGUAUUAGCUAGUUGGUAAGGUAACGGCUUACCAAGGCAACGAUACGUAGCCGACCUGAGAGGGUGAUCGGCCACACUGGAACUGAGACACGGUCCAGACUCCUACGGGAGGCAGCAGUAGGGAAUCUUCCGCAAUGGGCGAAAGCCUGACGGAGCAACGCCGCGUGAGUGAUGAAGGUCUUCGGAUCGUAAAACUCUGUUAUUAGGGAAGAACAAACGUGUAAGUAACUAUGCACGUCUUGACGGUACCUAAUCAGAAAGCCACGGCUAACUACGUG